rnacentral:rRNA from 1 species
UACGGAGGGUGCGAGCGUUGUCCGGAUUUAUUGGGUUUAAAGGGUGCGUAGGUGGCUGAAUAAGCCAGUGGUGAAAGCCUUCCGCUUAACGGGAGAAAUGCCAUUGGAACUGUUUAGCUUGAGUACGGUUGAAGUAGGCGGAAUUUAUGGUGUAGCGGUGAAAUGCAUAGAUACCAUAAAGAACACCGAUAGCGUAGGCAGCUUACUAAGCCGUAACUGACACUGAGGCACGAAAGCAUGGGGAGCGAACAGG